ACUUGAUAAAAGAAACUUAGGUCUAAAAACAAUAUAUAUAGACCCUAAAAACGUCCAGGGACUAAUAAUGCAAAUAGGGAAGUCUUCUGGGGCAAACUUGAGGUUCUAUAACUUGAAAGCGUCUAGGGUUUUUGCUGGGCCAAAACUGGUGUCGAUCGACACUCCUCGCUGAUUCCUGAACCAAAAUUGUCCUUAGCUUCCUUUUCCUUAGCUUUUGCUCCAAAAUGUCUUCUUAUCUCCAUUGUUGUCCCAUUGCAUAGAAUACCUAAAAAGACACUAAAAAGACUCGAGAAAUAACAUAAAAACUCAAAAUCCUAAACCUAAAACCUAGAUAAAAUGGUGAAAAUCGGGUUAUAUCAAGGAGUGUUUAGACAACACUUAUACCCAUUUUCUCCCAAAAAAAGGC
rnacentral:sRNA from 1 species